GAUGAACGCUAGCGGCAGGCUUAAUACAUGCAAGUCGAGGGGCAGCAUGAAUGUAGCAAUACAUUUGAUGGCGACCGGCUAACGGGUGCGGAACACGUACACAACCUUCCUAUAAGUUGGGAAUAGCCCAGAGACAUUUGGCUUAAUCCCCCGUAACAUAAUGAUGUGGCAUCCCAUUAUUAUUAUAGCUACGGCGCUUCUUGAUGGGUGUGCGGCUGAUUAGAUCGUUGGCGGGGUAACGGCGCAACAAGUCUACGAACAGGAGCUGAAGUGAGAGCAUGAUCAGCCACACGGGCACUGAGACACGGGCCCGAGUCCUACGGGAGGCAGCAGUAAGGAAUAGUGGUCAAUGGAAGCAAGUCUGAACCAGACAUGCCGCGUGAAGGAUUAAGGUCCUCUGGAUUGUAAACUUCUUUUAUCUGGGACGAAAAAAGGCGAUUCUUCGUCACUUGACGGUACCAGAUGAAUAAGCACCGGCUAACUCCGUGCCAGCCGCCGCGGUAACAC
rnacentral:rRNA from 1 species